rnacentral:tRNA from 2 species
GCCGCUGUGGCUUAGUGGUAUAGCGGCUGAUUCGUAAUCAGCAGGUCGAGGGUUCGAAUCCCUCCAGCGGCU